rnacentral:tRNA from 2 species
GCGGUCGUGGCGGAAUUGGCAGACGCGCAAGAUUCAGGUUCUUGUGCCCGUCAGGGCGUGGAGGUUCAAGUCCUCUCGACCGCACCA